GUAGGGAAUAUUGGACAAUGGGCGAAAGCCUGAUCCAGCAAUGCCGCGUGAGUGAUGAAGGCCUUAGGGUUGUAAAGCUCUUUUACCAGGGAUGAUAAUGACAGUACCUGGAGAAUAAGCUCCGGCUAACUCCGUGCCAGCAGCCGCGGUAAUACGGAGGGAGCUAGCGUUGUUCGGAAUUACUGGGCGUAAAGCGCGCGUAGGCGGCGAUUUAAGUCAGAGGUGAAAGCCCGGGGCUCAACCCCGGAAUAGCCUUUGAGACUGGAUUGCUAGAAUCCUGGAGAGGUGAGUGGAAUUCCGAGUGUAGAGGUGAAAUUCGUAGAUAUUCGGAAGAACACCAGUGGCGAAGGCGGCUCACUGGACAGGUAUUGACGCUGAGGUGCGAAAGCGUGGGGAGCAAACAGGAUUAGAAACCCCUGUAGUCC
rnacentral:rRNA from 1 species